UAUUUUGGCGGUAUUUUAGUUUAUUUAGAGGAAUCUGUUUAUUAAUUGAUAAUCCACGAAUAAAUUUACUUAAUUUUAUUAUUUUGUAUAUCAUUGUUAAAUAAAUAUUUUUUAAUAAUUAAUAAUAUUUUAAAAUUAUAAAUAAAAAUUAAAUCAAAUCAAGAUGCAGAUUAUAAUUAAGAAUAUAAUGGAUUACAAUAAUUUUAUUUAAAUGAAUUUUAAUUUGUAAAAAUUAAAUGAAGGUGGAUUUAAAUGUAAUUUUAUUUAUUUUAAUAAAUUGAUUAAGAAUUAAAAUAUGU
rnacentral:rRNA from 1 species